rnacentral:rRNA from 1 species
ACGGAGGCAGCAGUGAGGAAUAUUGGUCAAUGGACGAGAGUCUGAACCAGCCAAGUAGCGUGCAGGAUGACGGCCCUAUGGGUUGUAAACUGCUUUUGUACGGGAAUAAAGUGACCUACGUGUAGGUUUUUGCAGGUACCGUAAGAAUAAGGACCGGCUAAUUCCGUGCCAGCAGCCGCGGUAAUACGGAAGGUCCGGGCGUUAUCCGGAUUUAUUGGGUUUAAAGGGAGCGUAGGCCGUGCUUUAAGCGUGUUGUGAAAUGUAGGCGCCCAACGUCUGCACUGCAGCGCGAACUGGAGCACUUGAGUACGCAGGAAGUAGGCGGAAUUCGUCGUGUAGCGGUGAAAUGCUUAGAUAUGACGAAGAACUCCGAUUGGGAAGCCAGCUUACUGUAGCGCCACUGACGCUGAUGCUCGAAAGCGUGGGUAUCGAACAGGAUUAGAUACCCUGGUA